rnacentral:rRNA from 1 species
AGAGUUUGAUCCUGGCUCAGAACGAACGCUGGCGGCGUGCCUAAAACAUGCAAGUCGAGCGAGAAAGGGAGCAAUCCUGAGUAAAGCGGCGCACGGGUGCGUAACACGUGGGUAAUCUGCCUCGAAGAGAGGGAUAACUAGCCGAAAGGUUAGCUAAUACCUCAUAAGCUUACGGCCUCUUCGGAGGCUGUUAGAAAAGGGUGGCCUCUGUAUACAAGCUAUCGCUUCGAGAUGAGCCCGCGGCCCAUCAGCUAGUUGGCGGUGUAAAAGACCACCAAGGCGAUGACGGGUAGCUGGUCUGAGAGGACGAUCAGCCACACUGGAACUGAGACACGGUCCAGACUCCUACGGGAGGCAGCAGUUGGGAAUAUUGCGCAAUGGGCGAAAGCCUGACGCAGCAACGCCGCGUGAGCGAUGAAGGUCUUCGGAUCGUAAAGCUCUUUCGGCCGGGACGAAAACUCACCGUUUCAUACGCGGUGACUUGACGGUACCGGAAGAAGAAGCACCGGCUAACUCUGUGCCAGCAGCCGCGGUAAUACAGAGGGUGCAAGCGUUGUUCGGAAUUAUUGGGCGUAAAGCGCGUGUAGGCGGCUUGUUGUGUCGGGUGUGAAAGCCCUCGGCUUAACCGAGGAAGUGCGCCCGAAACUAGCGAGCUUGAGUGCCGGAGAGGAGAGUGGAACACCCGGUG